GAUGAACGCUGGCGGCGUGCUUAACACAUGCAAGUCGAACGGGAAACCUUUUAUUGAAGCUUCGGCAGAUUUAGCUGGUUUCUAGUGGCGGCCGGGUGAGUAACGCGUGGGUAACCUGCCCUAUACAGGGGGAUAACAACCAGAAAUGGUUGCUAAUACUGCAUAAGCGCACAGGGCCGCAUGGUCCGGUGUGAAAAACUCCGGUGGUAUAGGAUGGACCCGCGUUGGAUUAGCCAGUUGGCAGGGUAACGGCCUACCAAAGCGACGAUCCAUAGCCGGCCUGAGAGGGUGAACGGCCACAUUGGGGCUGAGACACGGCCCAGACUCCUACGGGAGGGAGCAGUGGGGAAUAUUGCACAAUGGGGGAAACGCUGAUGCAGCGACGCCGCGUGAAGGAAGAAGUAUCUCGGUAUGUAAACUUCUAUCAGCAGGGCAGGUAGUGACGGUACCUGACUAAGAAGCCCCGGCUAACUACGUG
rnacentral:rRNA from 1 species